AGCCAGACUCCUACGGGAGGCAGCAGUGGGGAAUAUUGGACAAUGGGGGAAACCCUGAUGCAGCGACGCCGCGUGAGUGAAGAAGUAUUUCGGUAUGUAAAGCUCUAUCAGCAGGGAAGAAAAUGACGGUACCUGACUAAGAAGCCCCGGCUAACUACGUGCCAGCAGCCGCGGUAAUACGUAGGGGGCAAGCGUUAUCCGGAUUUACUGGGUGUAAAGGGAGCGUAGACGGCAUGGCAAGUCAGAUGUGAAAGCCCGGGGCUCAACCCCGGGACUGCAUUUGAAACUGUCAGGCUGGAGUGCAGGAGAGGUAAGUGGAAUUCCUAGUGUAGCGGUGAAAUGCGUAGAUAUUAGGAGGAACACCAGUGGCGAAGGCGGCUUACUGGACUGUAACUGACGUUGAGGCUCGAAAGCGUGGGGAGCAAACAGGAUUAGAUACCCUCGUACG
rnacentral:rRNA from 1 species